CGGAGCUUGCUCCACCGGAAAAAGAAGAGUGGCGAACGGGUGAGUAACACGUGGGUAACCUGCCCAUCAGAAGGGGAUAACACUUGGAAACAGGUGCUAAUACCGUAUAACAAUCGAAACCGCAUGGUUUUGAUUUGAAAGGCGCUUUCGGGUGUCGCUGAUGGAUGGACCCGCGGUGCAUUAGCUAGUUGGUGAGGUAACGGCUCACCAAGGCCACGAUGCAUAGCCGACCUGAGAGGGUGAUCGGCCACAUUGGGACUGAGACACGGCCCAAACUCCUACGGGAGGCAGCAGUAGGGAAUCUUCGGCAAUGGACGAAAGUCUGACCGAGCAACGCCGCGUGAGUGAAGAAGGUUUUCGGAUCGUAAAACUCUGUUGUUAGAGAAGAACAAGGAUGAGAGUAACUGUUCAUCCCUUGACGGUAUCUAACCAGAAAGCCACGGCUAACUACGUGCCAGCAGCCGCGGUAAUACGUAGGUGGCAAGCGUUGUCCGGAUUUAUUGGGCGUAAAGCGAGCGCAGGCGGUUUCUUAAGUCUGAUGUGAAAGCCCCCGGCUCAACCGGGGAGGGUCAUUGGAAACUGGGAGACUUGAGUGCAGAAGAGGAGAGUGGAAUUCCAUGUGUAGCGGUGAAAUGCGUAGAUAUAUGGAGGAACACCAGUGGCGAAGGCGGCUCUCUGGUCUGUAACUGACGCUGAGGCUCGAAAGCGUGGGGAGCAAACAGGAUUAGAUACCCUGGUAGUCCACGCCGUAAACGAUGAGUGCUAAGUGUUGGAGGGUUUCCGCCCUUCAGUGCUGCAGCUAACGCAUUAAGCACUCCGCCUGGGGAGUACGACCGCAAGGUUGAAACUCAAAGGAAUUGACGGGGGCCCGCACAAGCGGUGGAGCAUGUGGUUUAAUUCGAAGCAACGCGAAGAACCUUACCAGGUCUUGACAUCCUUUGACCACUCUAGAGAUAGAGCUUCCCCUUCGGGGGCAAAGUGACAGGUGGUGCAUGGUUGUCGUCAGCUCGUGUCGUGAGAUGUUGGGUUAAGUCCCGCAACGAGCGCAACCCUUAUUGUUAGUUGCCAUCAUUUAGUUGGGCACUCUAGCAAGACUGCCGGUGACAAACCGGAGGAAGGUGGGGAUGACGUCAAAUCAUCAUGCCCCUUAUGACCUGGGCUACACACGUGCUACAAUGGGAAGUACAACGAGUCGCGAAGUCGCGAGGCUAAGCUAAUCUCUUAAAGCUUCUCUCAGUUCGGAUUGUAGGCUGCAACUCGCCUACAUGAAGCCGGAAUCGCUAGUAAUCGCGGAUCAGCACGCCGCGGUGAAUACGUUCCCGGGCCUUGUACACACCGCCCGUCACACCACGAGAGUUUGUAACACCCGAAGUCGGUGAGGUAACCUUUGGAGCCAGCCG
rnacentral:rRNA from 1 species